AGAGUUUGAUCAUGGCUCAGAACGAACGCUGGCGGCAUGCCUAACACAUGCAAGUCGAACGCUAUUUAUAGAGUGGCGCACGGGUGAGUAACGCGUGGGAACCUGCCUUUUUCUGCGGGAUAACGGUUGGAAACGACCGCUAAUACCGCAUACGCCCUACGGGGGAAAGGUCCGCCGGAGAAAGAGGGGCCCGCGUCUGAUUAGCUAGUUGGUAGGGUAAUGGCCUACCAAGGCGACGAUCAGUAGCUGGUCUGAGAGGAUGAUCAGCCACACUGGGACUGAGACACGGCCCAGACUCCUACGGGAGGCAGCAGUGGGGAAUAUUGGACAAUGGGGGCAACCCUGAUCCAGCAAUGCCGCGUGUGUGAUGAAGGCCUUAGGGUUGUAAAGCACUUUCACUGGUGAAGAUGAUGACGGUAACCAGAGAAGAAGCCCCGGCUAACUUCGUGCCAGCAGCCGCGGUAAUACGAAGGGGGCGAGCGUUGUUCGGAAUUACUGGGCGUAAAGGGCGCGUAGGCGGUCUUUUAAGUUAGGCGUGAAAGCCCCGGGCUCAACCUGGGAACUGCGCUUAAUACUGGAAGACUAG
rnacentral:rRNA from 1 species